rnacentral:tRNA from 1 species
GGAGAAUAGUUCCAAUGGUAGAACAACGGUCUCCAAAACCAACAGCCCUGAGCAAUAUAUAAAUCCCCAAAAGGGUUCGAAUCCCUUUUUCUCCU